rnacentral:rRNA from 1 species
GACGAACGCUGGCGGCGUGCUUAACACAUGCAAGUCGAACGGAAAGGCCUGCUUUCCCUUGUGGCUUGCGGGUACUCGAGUGGCGAACGGGUGAGUAACACGUGAGUGAUCUGCCCCCAACUUGGGUAUAAGCCUGGGAAACUGGGUCUAAUUCCCGAUAGCACUGGAGGGUGGUGCCUGUGGUUGAAAACGAUUUUCUAGUGGUUGGGGAUGAGCUCGCGGCCUAUCAGCUGGUUGGUGGGGUAGUGGCCUACCAAGGGGGCGACGGGGAGCCGGCCUGAGGGGGGAGAGGGGGACAUUGAGAAUGAGCUGCGGCACAGGGUCCUAGGCACGGCAGAGGCGGGGACUAGUGGACGCAGGGGGGAAGCCUGGUGCAGCGACGCCGGGUGGAGGAUGAAGGCCUUCGGGUGGUAAACAGCUUUUGGCCGUGAGGAGGCCACCUGGUUGGGAGGGUGGUGACGGUAGUGGUAGAAGAAGCACCGGCUAACUACGUG